GUCGACAACAGAGUUUGAUCAUGGCUCAGAUUGAACGCUGGCGGCAGGCCUAACACAUGCAAGUCGAACGGUAACAGGAAGCAGCUUGCUGCUUCGCUGACGAGUGGCGGACGGGUGAGUAAUGUCUGGGAAACUGCCUGAUGGAGGGGGAUAACUACUGGAAACGGUAGCUAAUACCGCAUAACGUCGCAAGACCAAAGAGGGGGACCUUCGGGCCUCUUGCCAUCGGAUGUGCCCAGAUGGGAUUAGCUUGUUGGUGGGGUAACGGCUCACCAAGGCGACGAUCCCUAGCUGGUCUGAGAGGAUGACCAGCCACACUGGAACUGAGACACGGUCCAGACUCCUACGGGAGGCAGCAGUGGGGAAUAUUGCACAAUGGGCGCAAGCCUGAUGCAGCCAUGCCGCGUGUAUGAAGAAGGCCUUCGGGUUGUAAAGUACUUUCAGCGGGGAGGAAGGGAGUAAAGUUAAUACCUUUGCUCAUUGACGUUACCCGCAGAAGAAGCACCGGCUAACUCCGUGCCAGCAGCCGCGGUAAUACGGAGGGUGCAAGCGUUAAUCGGAAUUACUGGGCGUAAAGCGCACGCAGGCGGUUUGUUAAGUCAGAUGUGAAAUCCCCGGGCUCAACCUGGGAACUGCAUCUGAUACUGGCAAGCUUGAGUCUCGUAGAGGGGGGUAGAAUUCCAGGUGUAGCGGUGAAAUGCGUAGAGAUCUGGAGGAAUACCGGUGGCGAAGGCGGCCCCCUGGACGAAGACUGACGCUCAGGUGCGAAAGCGUGGGGAGCAAACAGGAUUAGAUACCCUGGUAGUCCACGCCGUAAACGAUGUCGACUUGGAGGUUGUGCCCUUGAGGCGUGGCUUCCGGAGCUAACGCGUUAAGUCGACCGCCUGGGGAGUACGGCCGCAAGGUUAAAACUCAAAUGAAUUGACGGGGGCCCGCACAAGCGGUGGAGCAUGUGGUUUAAUUCGAUGCAACGCGAAGAACCUUACCUGGUCUUGACAUCCACGGAAGUUUUCAGAGAUGAGAAUGUGCCUUCGGGAACCGUGAGACAGGUGCUGCAUGGCUGUCGUCAGCUCGUGUUGUGAAAUGUUGGGUUAAGUCCCGCAACGAGCGCAACCCUUAUCCUUUGUUGCCAGCGGUCCGGCCGGGAACUCAAAGGAGACUGCCAGUGAUAAACUGGAGGAAGGUGGGGAUGACGUCAAGUCAUCAUGGCCCUUACGACCAGGGCUACACACGUGCUACAAUGGCGCAUACAAAGAGAAGCGACCUCGCGAGAGCAAGCGGACCUCAUAAAGUGCGUCGUAGUCCGGAUUGGAGUCUGCAACUCGACUCCAUGAAGUCGGAAUCGCUAGUAAUCGUGGAUCAGAAUGCCACGGUGAAUACGUUCCCGGGCCUUGUACACACCGCCCGUCACACCAUGGGAGUGGGUUGCAAAAGAAGUAGGUAGCUUAACCUUCGGGAGGGCGCUUACCACUUUGUGAUUCAUGACUGGGGUGAAGUCGUAACAAGGUAACCGUA
rnacentral:rRNA from 1 species